rnacentral:sRNA from 1 species
AGAGGCGGCCCACGCUGUCCACUUGUAGAGGCUUGCUACAGAAGCUACAGAAGAAGAUGGUUACAUUUCAAGUGGGCAGGUGCCAUUUGCUUAUGAGCACCAUCAGCCACAUCAGCCACAAUUCUUUGAAUUUUACCUAAUUGUCUCUAAUUCUUAACAAUUCUUUGAGGUGAUCUGCAACUCUUUCACCAUCUGUAAUGCAGAGAUGCAGGAAGUUGGUGUUGGCCUAUAUCCUAGUAUCUCUUUGCUCAAUCACAGCUGUGACCCCAACUGUUCGAUUGUGUUUAAUGGGCCCCACCUCUUACUGCGAGCAGUCCGAGACAUCGAGGUGGGAGAGGAGCUCACUAUCUGCUACCUGGAUAUGCUGAUGACCAGUGAGGAGCGCCGGAAGCAGCUGAGGGACCAGUACUGCUUUGAAUGUGACUGUUUCCGUUGCCAAACCCAGGACAAGGAUGCUGAUAUGCUAACUGGUGAUGAGCAAGUAUGGAAGGAAGUUCAAGAAUCCCUGAAAAAAAUUGAAGAACUGAAGGCACACUGGAAGUGGGAGCAGGUUCUGGCCAUGUGCCAGGCGAUCAUAAGCAGCAAUUCUGAACGGCUUCCCGAUAUCAACAUCUACCAGCUGAAGGUGCUCGACUGCGCCAUGGAUGCCUGCAUCAACCUCGGCCUGUUGGAGGAAGCCUUGUUCUAUGGUACUCGGACCAUGGAGCCAUACAGGAUUUUUUUCCCAGGAAGCCAUCCCGUCAGAGGCGUUCAAGUGAUGAAAGUUGGCAAACUGCAGCUACAUCAAGGCAUGUUUCCCCAAGCAAUGAAGAAUCUGAGACUG